UACGUAGGGUGCGAGCGUUAAUCGGAAUUACUGGGCGUAAAGGGUGCGCAGGCGGUUCUGCAAGUCAGGCGUGAAAGCCCCGGGCUUAACCUGGGAAUGGCGCUUGAAACUACAGGACUGGAGUAUGGCAGAGGGAGGUGGAAUUCCACGCGUAGCGGUGAAAUGCGUAGAGAUGUGGAGGAACACCGAUGGCGAAGGCAGCCUCCUGGGCCAAUACUGACGCUCAUGCACGAAAGCGUGGGAGCAAACAGG
rnacentral:rRNA from 1 species